rnacentral:siRNA from 1 species
AGUCUUUGGAGAGAACGUAACUGC